GAUUGACGGGCCCGCACAAGCAGCGGAGCGUGUGGUUAAUUCGAUGCUACACGAAGAACCUUACCAGGGUUUGACAUGCAAGUGGUAGGAAUCUGAAAAGGGACCGACCCUUCGGGGAGCUUGCACAGGUGCUGCAUGGCUGUCGUCAGCUCGUGUCAUGAGAUGUUCGGUUAAGUCCGCUAACGAGCGCAACCCUCACUGUGUGUUAUAUGUGUCACACGGGACUGCCGGUUUUAAGCCGGAGGAAGGUGGGGAUGACGUCAAGUCAGCAUGGCCUUUAUAUCCUGGGCUACACACACGCUACAAUGGUCGGUACAAUAGGUUGCCAAGCCGCGAGGCGGAGCCAAUCCACAAAGCCGGCCUCAGUUCAGAUUGUAGGCUGCAACUCGCCUGCAUGAAGAUGGAGUUGCUAGUAACCGCAGGUCAGCAAUACUGCGGUGAAUACGUUCCCGGGUCUU
rnacentral:rRNA from 1 species